AGUGAACGCUGGCGGUAGGCCUAACACAUGCAAGUCGAACGGCAGCACAGUAAGAGCUUGCUCUUACGGGUGGCGAGUGGCGGACGGGUGAGGAAUACAUCGGAAUCUACUUUUUCGUGGGGGAUAACGUAGGGAAACUUACGCUAAUACCGCAUACGACCUACGGGUGAAAGCAGGGGAUCUUCAGACCUUGCGCGAUUGAAUGAGCCGAUGUCGGAUUAGCUAGUUGGCGAGGUAAAGGCCCACCAAGGCGACGAUCCGUAGCUGGUCUGAGAGGAUGAUCAGCCACACUGGAACUGAGACACGGUCCAGACUCCUACGGGAGGCAGCAGUGGGGAAUAUUGGACAAUGGGCGCAAGCCUGAUCCAGCCAUACCGCGUGAGUGAAGAAGGCCUUCGGGUUGUAAAGCCCUUUUGUUGGGAAAGAAAAGCAGCAGGUUAAUACCCCGCUGUUCUGACGGUACCCAAAGAAUAAGCACCGGCUAACUUCGUG
rnacentral:rRNA from 1 species